rnacentral:sRNA from 1 species
UAUAUAAUGUACAUGAGUAUCUAUUCCUCCAGCUGUCACUAUUAAUCCUUCUCCAGCUAAAGCUUCUGUGCUUGCUCCAACUAUAAAGUCUACAUUAUCCAUUCCUAAUGGAUUUCCGCCUUUACCAAUUGCAGCUAUUUUUCCAUCUCUAAUUCCGAUAUCAGCUUUAUAUAUUCCUGUAUAAUCUAGAAUAGUUACUCCUGUAAUUAUUAAGUCAACAACCUUAGGAUUGUUUUCUCUUGUUUCAAUAGGAUUUAAUCCCAUCCCAUCUC